UGGCACUGAGUAGCAGCACGUCAGUUUCCUCUCUGCAGUGCAUUGAUGAACAGAGGGUGACAUGGAGAAAAUCACUAGCUGCAAGUUGCAAUGCCUAUGGCUGAUCCAUAGAAAACCACUUGGAUUUUGGAUGGAUAACGCUGGCCAUGUAAAGCGUUUUUGUCAUUUGAUAUUUGUGUGCGGCCGAACCCGAUCGACAAAGUAAAUUGAGCGUCUCAGACUGUCGAGCCAAAGAAAGAAGGGUCCAUAUGGAUGGAAAGGAAAAGUGCACCCCGACAGAAGAGCAGCUUCGGCUGUUUUGCUUACGUGCAAAUUUGGCCUGCCGCUCAAAAGACAAAGCAAAAUGAUAACGCGUUAUUGUAAACAGUCCCCAGAAUAGAUUUCUUUCUCCAGGGAAGCUAGACCUGUAGCAAUGGUCCGCGUGUAAUUUUGUUUGUCAUGGCAUUUUGUCGUUUUAGUAAAAAGGUUAUUAAGCCUUCAGUUCAAAAAAGGAAGAAAGAUAUUGAGCCUUUGUCUUAGUUUCUUUAAC
rnacentral:lncRNA from 1 species